AUACGUAGGGUGCGAGCGUUGUCCGGAAUUACUGGGCGUAAAGAGCUCGUAGGUGGUUUGUCGCGUCGUCUGUGAAAUUCCGGGGCUUAACUCCGGGCGUGCAGGCGAUACGGGCAUAACUUGAGUACUGUAGGGGAGACUGGAAUUCCUGGUGUAGCGGUGAAAUGCGCGGAUAUCAGGAGGAACACCGGUGGCGAAGGCGGGUCUCUGGGCAGUAACUGACGCUGAGGAGCGAAAGCAUGGGUGGCGAACAGGAUUAGAUACCCUGGUAGUCCAUGCCGUAAACGGUGGGCGCUAGGUGUAGGGGUCUUCCACGACUUCUGUGCCGUAGCUAACGCAUUAAGCGCCCCGCCUGGGGAGUACGGCCGCAAGGCUAAAACUCAAAUGAAUUGACGGGG
rnacentral:rRNA from 1 species